AGUCGCGCUGCCGCCUAAUUACAUUUGUUAAUUGUUUUCGCUGUUUAAAAGUGUUAAAAAUUUAUAAAAAAUCCAUAAAACAAUAAAUAACAAUGAUCGUAGGGCUGUGUUUCAAGCUUUGCUCAAUAUCUAUCUGUUUAAAUGGUGAAUUUAGCUAAUUUUUAUGCCAGAAUGCAAAUGACGCUCCCGCGCACAAGUGGGGUUGUAUGUGUGCGCGUCAACACAUACUUACUUAUGCUUAUGCAAAUGGCGGUUUUUGGAAAAGGAAAUGGAGCUACGCGGGAGAAGUGAAAGUGUUUUUAUAUAAGUGAAAUUAACGGAAAGAAAUAUGGAAAUGGAAAACGGAAAUCCCUAAAGCAACAUUCAAUGAGAUGGAAAAUUAAGGAUCAAAAAAACGAAUUCAACUCAAAAUUCCCGAAGAGCUGACUCACCUGCACGGCGUGCACGUGGGCAUGGGCAUGGGCUGGAGCAUGGAAAUGCA